AAGAUCCAGGACAAGGAGGGCAUCCCGCCCGACCAGCAGCGCCUCAUCUUCGCCGGCAAGCAGCUCGAGGACGGCCGCACCCUCGCCGACUACAACAUCCAGAAGGAGUCCACCCUCCACCUCGUCCUCCGCCUCCGGGGCGGCGCCAAGAAGCGUAAGAAGAAGACCUACACCAAGCCCAAGAAGAUCAAGCAUAAGAAGAAGAAGGUCAAGCUCGCCGUCCUCCAGUUCUACAAGGUGGACGACUCCGGCAAGGUCCAGCGGCUCCGGAAGGAGUGCCCCAACGGCGAGUGCGGCGCCGGCACCUUCAUGGCCAACCACUUCGACCGCCACUACUGCGGUAAGUGCGGCCUCACCUAUGUCUACCAGAAGGCCGGCGGCGAUUGAGGUAGAUAUAGAGAUAGAGAAUUCAGUUAUAUGGAGUGUGUAGUCGUAAGAUCGGACUGGAUUUAGCUUAUGGCGCUUCCAUUUUUUUGCGGUACUUGGUGCUUUUGGCGUUAAUUUGUGGCUCCGGAAUGUGGAAUUUUGGUUGCUGAUAUUUAGCUUCUUGAAUGACAUCUCUUAUGAAUCGUUUUUGCUUUAGCUUUGACUGGCUCCUUUUGGUCCCUGCGCUUCUGAUCAUUGUCGCAAAUGCUUUGUGGAUUAUCAAUGAACAUGCUUUCUGAUCAUUGUUGGGUUGAGAAGAUAGAGAAAUUGAUUCAUUCAAUACCCAAUCUUGCGAGGUGGUAGUAAUGACCUGAUGCGUUUGGUUAAUAGGUGAACUAGUGGCUUUUUGUGUUUUGGGUGCGGUUUGCAGUUUGUGGUUUGGUCCAGGCCGGAGAGAGGAGGACACCUUUUGUAUCUCCAUCUGGGAUAUCAAUGUGCUUGGAUAAUUUUUGGUUGUCUUUCUUGGCUCUUCGGCUUGUGAGAUUCGCUCAAUUGUGACUGUUUUCCUUAGAACUACCAGAAUUGAUAUAAUGAGUCUGUCUGGAGAAGAAGCUCUAAAUUAUGAGCAGGCGGGUGUGUUUAGUCAAGACCAUGAAUGGCGUUCCUUUUUGCUAUUAUGCCAGAAGGUUAUAGUUAGCAGCAAUCAGUGAUAGACCUCCUCUGAACAUUUCUCCUUGAUCAUGAAGCGAUUGCGAAGUAUAUUUGGCUGAAGUUGCUUCCAUCCGCAGCUUUCUAGUUAUCAUAGCUGCUGUCGUCAUUUGACGAUAGGAUCUUAGCCCUUCUUUAUCGAAAGCAUCUCGCACCUACAAAUCAGCUCCUUUCUAAUGAACGUCUAUCAGCAGCUUUCCAUGACUUCUCUCCAUUUUUGGAGACCACUGUCAUUGGAAUUCAUCAGCUGUAGAGUAUCAAUGUGGUUCUCCGGCUUAGAGCCUAAGCGUUGCUCCCGUGGCUGCCUUUUUAUUGUAUUAGAAUGGGGAUUGAUGAUGUAUGAGGCGGCUCCGGCAUUUCAAGUAGAGAGUGAGUUCAAAUGUAUAAUCUGCAGCACGCUCUUGCACUUGGAACGGAUUUUCUUCUCUGUUGCAUUAGGUUAGCUUUUGAGUUCAAAGGUUCUGUAUUGACCCAAUUUCUUGAUUUUCAGCGUUGCACUUUGUGCACUGGGCUUAUCUAGAUUUUCUACAAUGUCCGUUGUCAUCAUCAACUGCAAAAUGUUGCGAAAUAAAAAAAGAACGAAGCCUUUUAUGGUCGGCCAAAAGAAAAUCACUUUCAGGCACGGUCGUUCAGUCUGUCACGCUUUGUGCCUUGCGAUCAUUCCAAUCAAACAUGAUUUCUAAUUCGCUACAGGUACAUGCGCUUCCUAGGUGAACCAAACAUGCUCGGCUUGAAAGCAAAGCUGAUGAAUGUACCCACAUAGUACCAGUACAACAGAAAACCGUGAAACCCAUUAAAGAGAAUCGAUCAAUACAAUUAGCACCCUCGAAAUGAGGUCCAACCACAAACAGGAUUUUAAUGUUCCUGUCAUGUUCUCGUGUAAGCUGUGCUUUGCCAGCACUAAAAGCAUAAGCACUCCCGACUACAAUAGCUGUCGAUGGUUGAUGAAGCAAAGCGGCCGAUAUCAGUUUGCUUCUUUGAGGAGCAGCCGAUUGAUCAAUCGGCAUACUGGAAUUGCUCGUACCUCAUUUGCAAACUUCGGGAAUCAAGCGCGCUCCUGUACCACUGGGACAAAUACCGAGAAUAUGUGUUUUUCACAUAAUGGAUCGAUUGGAAGAGGAAAGUGCUGGAUUGCAAACAGCGUAGCCGUAGGCAAUUGCUUCUGGAUGAGGGGAUGUGCUGCAGUAAUCAGAGCCAGGGUUGUGUCUCGGUCUCUAAUCCAACAGGACGAAGGGUGCAUUUGGGAAAACUUUUGGGGAAAGUCCUUGAGAAAAUGUAAAUGCCUUUGAACUGAAGGGGUUUUUGGAAAUGCAAAUUGUGUUUGGUAAAUCGUAUUUGUAAAGUCCAUUGCAAAGUAUGUUUAAGCAAAACAGUGUUUGGACAAAUUAACUGUGUAAAAGACUUUUGUCAUUAAAAAAAAGGAAAAAAAAAAGAAGAAGAAUUGGCUGGUUACCGCUGGCGAGGGGCAGGCAGUCCGGUGAGGGUCUGGCGAGGGGCAGGCGGUCCGGCGAGAGGCAGGCGGUCGGCGAGGGUCGCCGCAACCAGAUCGAGCGGCCCCGGCGACCUCCGCACGGAGGUCGCGGCGCGGCGGGUCGCGCGACCGUCCAGCGAGGGUCGCUCGGCGACCCCGAUCGCGACCAGAUCGUCGCAACCAGAUCGCGCGAUCCCAAUCGCUCGAUUUGGGUCGCCGGAGGUCGCGCGGGCCUAGAUCUGGGUCGCGGCGACCUUCGGGGACCAGAUCUACUCACGAUUUGCGUCGCCGGAGGUCGGGCGGCCCAGAUAUGGGUCGCGGAGACCUCCGGUGACCCAGAUCUGCCGGGCGUCGCGGCGUUGCAGCGUCGCCGGGGUUGCAGCGGUCUACUGCGACCCAGAUCUGGGAGGUUGCCAAGGGUUGCAGCGGUCGCGACGACGCGACUCGCAAGGGGUCGCCGAGGUCACGCGACUGGCCGCCAACGGUUGCCGUGGCACACCGGCCUCUUGCCGCCUCCGUCCAACUCGUCGCCGGCCCCUCACAGCUCGGCACAACUUCGCCGGCCAACCUCAAACGAAGAAGAAGGUGAAUAGUUACGAGGACAAAACCGGAAAAAAGAAAUGUUAGCGAGGACAUUUAUGGAAAAAAAAAAUUGUCUUAUCCUCCAUCAGCCUUCCGAGAAGGCUGAAUGGGGGUGCCUUGGGCUUUCAGCCUUGGGAAGGCUUGCCUUUCCCAAAGGCAAGUUUAAAAAACCUUCCCAAACGUUCUCUCCUUGGCCCAAAGGCCUUUAGCCCCCUAAAGAUCUUUGGGAAUGCAGUUCCCAAACGCAGCCGAAGUGAGAGGCUCAUCGCCUCAGUUAGAAGCAAGGUUACAGGCGCUGAGCUUACCGAUAGCGUCGGGAUCGCCUCUUUCUACCCUUCGCAAAUCCAAAGGAGCACCAACAUAAAACCUUGAAUUCGUCAUGAAAAGUUGCGGUAGCGCUCUCCUAGUCGUUCCUCUCCUUCGCUCUCUCUUUCAACUGUCUAUGGAAACUAAGUUCCAGAGGAUGGUUUUCUAUUUCUCCUACGUCAUAAUUCAAAAUGAAUGUCACUGUCCGAUUCUCCUACUUAUCCCAAUGGGAUGGAUCCUCUUACUGGCUCUGCUGUUUCGUCUGCCUGUGGCCAUCCCUUAGAACAAAUCCAAAUGCAGGGUCUGUUCAUGAAUUUCAAAGCAAUUGCAUUCGCAGAGCUAUCUUCGAAUUGCAACCGAGACAGAUUUCGAAGCAAUCGUUGAUUUCAUGCAAAGAGUUUGUGAUCGAACGCUGACUCACUGCCCUACUUUGGGAGAAAGAGGUAAAAGAUGUCGAAGUUCUUGGGCUUCCGAAUGGGGUCAUUAUGUGAGAUUUGUGAAUACGUCUGUGGCACUCGUCGGCCGUCCUAUAUGUAUUGAGUAAUGUCUAUUGUUAGAUCACAUAUCGAAUCAUCAACUUCUUCACAUAUUCUCACGCAACUGUUAUAAAUCAAAAGUUAGUAAUUUAGUAGCUUAGUUUAGGAUUGACUCGAUUAGGUUUGAGCAAGAUGGAAAGAAUGAACCGGCCAGUUUGGUUUGAUUCCCACUCCCUAAAAGUGGACCAAUCACCCUUAAACUGACCCAGCUUGCUUUCAUUAGGAGUAAGCAUGGUUCCAAGGCAUAAUCGAGAAUUUGAAAACUAGAUCGGUAAAAACCGUUUCAAUUUAGAUUCUAAGAUAUGUAGGAUAUGCUCUAAGUUCCAAAAAUUGAGAAAUUUAUUUCGAUUGAUAGGUUUUCAAUCAAGAAAGUUGGAACAUGAAACUUAGAACCCAAAAUAAAUUUUGUAUUUUUCUUGUUAUAUUUAUUUUAUGCGAUCACGUGGCAUUCAUCAUAAUGAGUGGGUAAUUUAAAAUCAUUGGUUUGACAUUUUAUUUCACAUGAUAUCCGUGACUAAGAUUUUUGUCUUAUUAAUAUUCCAUACUUCUUGUGCAUCUAAAUAUGAGUUAUGAUUAGUGGAUUGUAACAAACGGUGAUCAUUAGAGUAGAACCUAAGUAAAGCCUAAAACUUGAGUAUAUAGGAAAAGUUCCAAGUUGAAGAAAUUAGAGAAUUUGUUCUCGUAGGUUUCAUAUGGAAUUUGGAUAGAACUUGAGACCGAUCAUCUCCAGUUUUUCACCCCCUUCAAGCCCCCGGGGGCAGAAAUGUAACUCCGCUAGACCAAGGCCCAAGCCCACAUCUCUCAAAACCCUAAAAUACGCAUCUCUCCUCGCCCUCCUCCCUUCCUGCACCAGAAAAACGCAAACCCUAGCCGAUCUCCCCCCCUUCCCCCCAGCGGCUGCAGACCAUCACCAAUCCCUCCCUGGGUCUGCAUCGCCGGCGGCCAAGAUGCAGAUCUUCGUGAAGACCCUGACGGGGAAGACCAUCACCCUGGAGGUGGAGUCCUCCGACACCAUCGACAACGUCAAGGCCAAGAUCCAGGACAAGGAGGGCAUCCCGCCCGACCAGCAGCGCCUCAUCUUCGCCGGCAAGCAGCUCGAGGACGGCCGCACCCUCGCCGACUAUAACAUCCAGAAGGAGUCCACCCUCCACCUCGUCCUCCGCCUCCGGGGCGGCGCCAAGAAGCGGAAGAAGAAGACCUACACCAAGCCCAAGAAGAUCAAGCAUAAGAAGAAGAAGGUCAAGCUCGCCGUCCUCCAGUUCUACAAGGUGGACGACUCGGGCAAGGUCCAGCGGCUCCGGAAGGAGUGCCCGAACGCCGAGUGCGGCGCCGGGACCUUCAUGGCCAACCACUUCGACCGCCACUACUGCGGUAAGUGCGGGCUAAC
rnacentral:lncRNA from 1 species